rnacentral:rRNA from 1 species
AACCAGGGAUUAGAUACCCUAUUAUAGUUAAAGUAAAUUUAAACCAGAGUAUUAGUAGUUAUUUUCUUUAAAUUCAAAGAAUUUGGCGGUAUUUUAGUCCUUUUAGAGGAACCUGUUUUAUAAACGAUAAACCACGAAUAUCUUACCUGCUUUAUGUUUGUAUACCGUCAUUAUCAGACAAUUUUAAGAGAGUUAAUUGUUGAAAAUAAGAUAAGUUAAAAAAAUUAGAUCAAGGUGCAGCUUAUGUGUAGGAGAAAAUGGGUUACAAUAAGAAUAAUUUAAUACGGAGGUUUUUCUGAAACUGGAAAAAUGAAGGUGGAUUUAAUUGUAAUUAUAUUUAAUUGAGUAGAUUUGAUAUAGGCUCUAAAAUAUGUAC